rnacentral:rRNA from 1 species
GGAUUAGAAACCCCGGUAGUCCACGCCGUAAACGGUGGGUGCUAGGUGUAGGUCGUAUUCCACGCGAUCUGUGCCGCAGCUAACGCAUUAAGCACCCCGCCUGGGGAGUACGGCCGCAAGGCUAAAACUCAAAGGAAUUGACGGGGGCCCGCACAAGCAGCGGAGCAUGUGGCUUAAUUCGACGCAACGCGAAGAACCUUACCAAGGCUUGACAUGCAGGGAAAUCUCACAGAGAUGUGAGGUCCGCAAGGGUCCUGCACAGGUGGUGCAUGGUUGUCGUCAGCUCGUGUCGUGAGAUGUUGGGUUAAGUCCCG